GGAACACGCAAGACAAAUUCACAUGAGGACCUCGAUGAAAAUACUUUGAAAACCCACAUAGAAUUUGAAUUAAGACACAGAUAGGCAAUAUAUAGUUAGACAGACACACUCAGACGGACAAAACAUUUCAAUGGAUAAUUGGAGGUCCCUGGUGGCAGUCCUGGUGUUCUUUGCAUUGUUGGAAAUCUACCACGGAUUUCCUUUUAAUGUGAAUUCUGAGACAAGGACACCAGACAACUGGCAGGACGAGAGCCUGGACAGCGCUGCAGUCAGUAAAAUGGCAGACAUGAUGAAAAGAUCCAAAGCUUUGCGCUUCUACGGGCUGAUGGGGAAGCGCUCAGGUUCAAGGCAGCCGAUACAAAUGAACAGACGACGUAA